rnacentral:misc_RNA from 1 species
GAAAAACGGAUCACUUUCUCUCUCUAGAUUACUCGGAAUUUUGUGUUCAAAACAGUUUACAUUUCAGUGGAAUCUGAUUACGAAAUUCAAUCUGCUGCCUCGGUAUUCUGAAUCAACUGUAUUUGCAUUUCAAACUGAGGAUUUUCGUUUGGCUUGAUUGAUUCUGGUUCUUGAAACUUUAGAUAGUGUCGAUUGAGAGGUGAAUCGCGUUCUUAGGACUGGAGAUUGAAUAGAAAGGUAUC